AAUUCUAAAGGAACCACAGGGAAUUCCUUUUAAGAGCAACAGAAAGCAAGCUAGCUGAGACUUGUGGAUUUCUUAAAUUCUACUGUGACCAAAAGAAGAAGGAAUUAAAGAAGAAUGCUUCCCUUGAAAUUUGAAAAAGGAAAUAAGGAGCAAUUCUAAAGUAUCCCUGUCUCGUGACCCUGUCAUAUUCUUGGGGAAAUGAACUUAUGGAAGGCUGCAGGACGUGCCAGCAGAAGAGGUGAAGGGUUCCUGACUCUUGAGAAGGAUCCUGCCUUCCUCUUCUCCAUUAGAGGGAGAGCUGCCUGCUAGUACCCUGAUCUUUCCUGGACCCUUCAAAGACAGCAGCCACGGUUUCUUGGACUGGAGAAGUCUGAUGAGCAGUUCUUCCCAGUGGUGAAUGGUAUUGUUUCCUUAAUGGUAUUCUUCACAGAACUAGAACAAAUAAUUUCACAAUUUGUAUGGAAAUACAAAAAACCUCGAAUAGCCAAAGCAAUCUUGAGAAAGAAGAAUGGAACUGGAGGAAUCAACUUGCCUGACUUCAGGCUCUACUACAAAGCCACAGUCACCAAGACAGUAUGGUACUGGCACAAAGACAGAAAUAUAGAUCAAUGGAGCAGAAUAGAAAGCCCAGAGAUAAAUCCACGUACCUAUGGACACCUUAUCUUCGACAAAGGAGGCAAGAAUAUACAAUGGAAAAAAGACAACCUCUUUAACAAGUGGUGCUGGGAAAACUGGUCAACCACUUGUAAAAGAAUGAAACCAGAACACUUUCUAAUACCAUACACAAAAAUAAACUCAAAAUGAAUUAAAGAUCUAAAUGUAA